rnacentral:rRNA from 1 species
GUCCACGCCGUAAACGAUGUCGACUAGCCGUUGGGCCCUUAUGGGGUUUAGUGGCGCAGCUAACGCAUUAAGUCGACCGCCUGGGGAGUACGGCCGCAAGGUUAAACUCAAAUGAAUUGACGGGGCCCGCACAAGCGGUGGAGCAUGUGGUUUAAUUCGAUGCAACGCGAAGAACCUUACCUACCCUUGACAUCCUCAGAAUUUGGCAGAGAUGCCUUAGUGCCUUCGGGAACUGAGAGACAGGUGCUGCAUGGCUGUCGU